GCGAACGCUGGCGGCAGGCCUAACCCCUGCAAGUCGCACGAACCUUUCGGGGUUAGUGGCGGACGGGUGAGUAACACGUGGGAACGUGCCUUUAGGUUCGGAAUAACUCAGGGAAACUUGUGCUAAUACCGAAUGUGCCCUUCGGGGGAAAGAUUAAUCGCCUUUAGAGCGGCCCGCGUCUGAUUAGCUAGUUGGUUGAGGUAAUGGCUCACCAAGGCGACGAUCAGUAGCUGGUCUGAGAGGAUGAUCAGCCACAUUGGGACUGAGACACGGCCCAAACUCCUACGGGAGGCAGCAGUGGGGAAUCUUGCGCAAUGGGCGAAAGCCUGACGCAGCCAUGCCGCGUGAAUGAUGAAGGUCUUAGGAUUGUAAAAUUCUUUCACCGGGGACGAUAAUGACGGUACCCGGAGAAGAAGCCCCGGCUAACUUCGUG
rnacentral:rRNA from 1 species